CAAAUCCGGAUCUCACAUAGCCUGAGAGGUGAUGCGUAGCCGUUGCGGUGAAUUCCAUGAUCCUAUGCUGCCGAGAAAAGCCUCUAGCGAGAUCUGAUGUGGCCCGUACCCCAAACCAACACAGGUGGUCAGGUAGAGAAUACCAAGGAGAUCGAGAGAACUGUGGUUAAGGAACUCGGCAAAAUGCCCCCGUAACUUCGGG
rnacentral:rRNA from 1 species